GACGUAGGGCGCGAGCGUUGUCCGGAUUUAUUGGGCGUAAAGAGCUCGUAGGCGGCUUGUUGCGUCGACUGUGAAAACCUGCGGCUCAACCGUGUGGUCUGCAGUCGAUACGGGCAGGCUGGAGUUCGGUAGGGGAGACUGGAAUUCCUGGUGUAGCGGUGAAAUGCGCAGAUAUCAGGAGGAACACCCGGUGGCGAAGGCGGG
rnacentral:rRNA from 1 species